CCUACGGGCGGCAGCAGUCGAGAAUCAUUCACAAUGGGGGAAACCCUGAUGGUGCGACGCCGCGUGGGGGAAUGAAGGUCUUCGGAUUGUAAACUCCUGUCAUGGGGGAGAAAAGUAAAAAGAUAGUACCACAAGAGGAAGAGACGGCUAACUCUGUGCCAGCAGCCGCGGUAAUACAGAGGGCCCAAGCGUUGUUCGGAAUGACUGGGCGUAAAGCGUGCGUAGGCGGUUUGGUAAGUCGUGUGUGAAAGGCGCGGGCUCAACCCGCGGACGGCACAUGAUACUGGGAGACUAGAGUAAUGGAGAGGGAGGCGGAAUUCUCGGUGUAGCAGUGAAAUGCGUAGAUAUCGGGAGGAACACUCGUGGCGAAGGCGGCUUCCUGGACAUUAACUGACGCUGAGGCACGAAGGCCAGGGGAGCGAACGGGAUUAGAUACCCUGGUAGUC
rnacentral:rRNA from 1 species